GGAGCAGGGCAAGGUUUCUGUAGUGCAGCUCAAGCCAAAAACACAUCAGCAUUUACACACACACACACACACACACACACAUAUAUAUAUAUAUAUAUAAUCUUUCUUCAGUUUUUAGUUUAAAUGAUCAAGCUUCAUUUUCUUUCCUGGAGUGGAAGCAAUACAAACAAAUGUCCCUGCUGCCAAUCCAGCUGCUCCUGGGGGAUGUUCCUGCCAUGAAGUGUCCUGGGAUAUCUGAACCACCCUGCUGGUCCUCCUGUGCCCAGGUGCUGUGCUGUUACUGUUCCAGCUUUGAUCUCCUUCAGGUGCAGCUGUGGAUGUGCAGGGCAGCACUCACAGGGGAGCAAUUCCCAGAGUGGUGUGAGCAGCAGGGACUCGCUGCCCUCGCUUGUGGCAACUCGGCCUGGAAGGAUCCCAAUCCCUCAAGGUCAGAUGGUCUUGUCAGGAAUAUGUGAUUCCUGCUGGAAAUUAUUUCCAUGAGAUCAGAUGGAUAGAUAUAAUUAGCAGAACCAAACCAGAUAGGAUUCUUACAGGAGCAGCUGUGCAGCCAACAAAGUUAUUGUAUCAGAGAUUUUUUUUUUCAGUAAGUAUUUUACACAGAGUCAUAUUUCUUUUCACAACAAAUUGGAUCUUAUCCCAAAAGGAUUUGCUUUAUAGCAAAGCCAGACAAAGAAAGUAAAGCUCAUGGUUUGUUCUCGUGUCUCAAAAUGUUGUGAUAGGCUGAACUGUGCAUGGCAUAAUAAAGUGUUCCAUAGCCCUGAGUUUUAUUGUAAG
rnacentral:lncRNA from 1 species